rnacentral:lncRNA from 1 species
AAUUUAGAAUAAUAAAUAGUGGUUAAAUGAGGUCUCUACAUAGAUGGGGACCACUGUGUGAUUAUGGCCUCCUGUCCACAGGUUUUGCCUCUGAAAAACAAGAUGCAGAACCAUGCUCAGUUUCCACUCACCCUAUGUGGAGGGAUGUUCGAGAUCACCAUCCUAGCCUAGGGACCUUGGACUAUCUCAGGUUUAGGGCCAUCACUCAGGCAAGCAUCACCUUCAACCUCUCUAACUGCUGGUUCUCCAGAGGUAUGCUGCUGGUAUCUACAGAUAGAUCUUUGGUGAUCUCCUUUGCCUUCACACAUUGUAUGAGUCUGUCAAGGUCCUCUCCUUGGGUAGUAUCUGCCUCAGACCCCUGCAGCUCUGUGUCCCUGUGGAGAUCAUCAUGCCCUCCACUGAAGCACCGGGCCUUCAUGUAGACCUGGGCACCCUUCCUGCUGUGGUCUGUCUACAGAACAUGUUCCAUGGUCAUCCUGAUCCCCAAGCUGGACCUAAUCAGGUCUGUAAGCCUCAGUACCCUGGUCGUCUUCAUUCUGUCCCUCCUAGAGAUCACCACCUACCCCUCAGAGAGGGUGAGCACUCUCAUCAUCACCUGGGACACCCUGAUCAGCAUCCUGGGCUUUGUGAGCUUCAUGGUAAGGACCUGCCAAGCCCCUGACAAUCCCAUCCAGCUGGGAGAUGCACUUCCUUUCCCAGCAACACUGGCACUGCGGAAGAAUGUUUUCUACUUGACACUUCUCCCUUCACUCCUUAAAUAUUCUAGCCUUGUCUGAACAAAGAUCCCCCUUUCAUUGCUAAUGUCUAUAUUUUUUAUGAGACCUCCAUAGUACUGGGCAUUUUGUACAUUGCCUGACCCACAGCAAGCCUGGAUCAAUGGUGCCUGCUCCUGGGGUAUUGCUACACCAGAUCUCCUGUAUCACAGAUGUGUCCUCUCAGCUUCCAAGCUGAGAUAUGUUAGCCUGGCUUGAAGAAAAGUAGGUUCCUUUCCUGCCUCUCUGGCCCUCAGAGUAGGAAACAGCAAAAUAAUAAGAAUCACUGAUAUUUGUAGAGCACUUUAUCUUUUCAAAGUAGCUUGUCCACCUACCUUCACUUGUUUUCCACAACACUCAGAGGUGGAUGAUGCUGGACUCUUUAACCAUAUUUGUAAAACUGAGGCAUCUGAGGGUAUGUGGGCUGGCCCAGAUCAGGUAGGAGUAAAUGACAGAGCUCAGUAUUAAAACUCAGAUCUUCUGACCCCAUUUCUGCCCAGCUGCAUGACUUAAGUGACUUUUCUCUGGGAUUCCCCACUUAUAAAAUGGAAGGGUUGGCUAGAUCUCUGAGGACCCAUUCUAAGCCAUCUUUGCUAUGUACACUUCAAAGUCUUCUUAACAAGAGGCAGGCCUCCCCCUCCCUGCCCCCACUUGUUGGAGCCAGCUGUUGCCUUGCCUUCAGCCUUCUGUAGCUCCCUGAACUGGUUGCU